rnacentral:snoRNA from 1 species
CCGGUGAAGAGUAAGCUGUUAGCUGAACAGUGACGAGAGGAUGGCUGGCAGAGG